rnacentral:rRNA from 1 species
UACGGAGGGUGCAAGCGUUAUCCGGAUUCACUGGGUUUAAAGGGUGCGUAGGUGGGUUGGUAAGUCAGUGGUGAAAUCUCCGAGCUUAACUUGGAAACUGCCGUUGAUACUAUCAAUCUUGAAUAUCGCGUAGGUAAGCGGAAUAUGUCAUGUAGCGGUGAAAUGCUUAGAUAUGACAUAGAACACCAAUUGCGAAGGCAGCUUACUUCACGAUCAUUGACACUGAGGCACGAAAGCGUGGGGAUCAAACAGG